CAGUAGCCACGGUAAAACGAAGGGGGCUAGCGUUGCUCGGAAUGACUGGGCGUAAAGGGCGCGUAGGCGGAUUGUUUAGUUAGGCGUGAAAUUCCUGGGCUUAACCUGGGGACUGCGCUUAAUACAGGCAGUCUAGAGUGAGGAAGAGGGUUGUGGAAUUCCCAGUGUAGAGGUGAAAUUCGUAGAUAUUCGGAAGAACACCAGUGGCGAAGGCGGCUUACUGGCUCAUUCUAGACGCUGAGGUGCGAAAGCGUGGGGAGCAAACAGGAUUAGAGACCCCGGUAGUCCCUGUCUCUUAUAC
rnacentral:rRNA from 1 species